GGGCUAACGGACUGAUUCGAGCUCGGCUCGACUCUCCCACCCAAUGUGUACCUACCUCUGUUGCUUUGGCGGGCCGCGGUCCUCCGCACCGGCGCCCUUCGGGGGGCUGGCCAGCGCCCGCCAGAGGACCAUAAAACUCCAGUCAGUGAACUUCGCAGUCUGAAAAACAAGUUAAUAAACUAAAACUUUCAACAACGGAUCUCUUGGUUCUGGCAUCGAUGAAGAACGCAGCGAAAUGCGAUAAGUAAUGUGAAUUGCAGAAUUCAGUGAAUCAUCGAAUCUUUGAACGCACAUUGCGCCCCUUGGUAUUCCGAGGGGCAUGCCUGUUCGAGCGUCAUUUCAACCCUCAAGCUCUGCUUGGUAUUGGGCCCCGUCCUCCACGGACGCGCCUUAAAGACCUCGGCGGUGGCGUCUUGCCUCAAGCGUAGUAGAAAACACCUCGCUUUGGAGCGCACGGCGUCGCCCGCCGGACGAACCUUUGAAUUAUUUCUCAAGGUUGACCUCGGAUCAGGUAGGGAUACCCGCUGAACUUAAGCAUAUCAUAG
rnacentral:rRNA from 1 species